GAUGAACGCUGGCGGCGUGCCUAAUACAUGCAAGUCGAGCGAACAGACGAGGAGCUUGCUCCUCUGACGUUAGCGGCGGACGGGUGAGUAACACGUGGAUAACCUACCUAUAAGACUGGGAUAACUUCGGGAAACCGGAGCUAAUACCGGAUAAUAAAUUGAACCGCAUGGUUCAAUAGUGAAAGACGGUUUUGCUGUCACUUAUAGAUGGAUCCGCGCCGCAUUAGCUAGUUGGUAAGGUAACGGCUUACCAAGGCAACGAUGCGUAGCCGACCUGGGAGGGUGAUCGGCCACACUGGAACUGAGACACGGUCCAGACUCCUACGGGAGGCAGCAGUAGGGAAUCUUCCGCAAUGGGCGAAAGCCUGACGGAGCAACGCCGCGUGAGUGAUGAAGGUCUUCGGAUCGUAAAACUCUGUUAUUAGGGAAGAACAAAUGUGUAAGUAACUAUGCACGUCUUGACGGUACCUAAUCAGAAAGCCACGGCUAACUACGUG
rnacentral:rRNA from 1 species